CCUACGGGUGGCAGCAGUCGAGAAUCAUUCACAAUGGGGGAAACCCUGAUGGUGCGACGCCGCGUGGGGGAAUGAAGGUCUUCGGAUUGUAAACCCCUGUCAUGUGGGAGCAAAUUAAAAAGAUAGUACCACAAGAGGAAGAGACGGCUAACUCUGUGCCAGCAGCCGCGGUAAUACAGAGGUCUCAAGCGUUGUUCGGAAUCACUGGGCGUAAAGCGUGCGUAGGCUGUUUCGUAAGUCGUGUGUGAAAGGCGAGGGCUCAACCCGCGGACGGCACAUGAUACUGGGAGACUAGAGUAAUGGAGGGGGAGCUGGAAUGCUCGGGGUAGGAGUGAAAUGCGUAGAGAUCGAGAGGAACACGCAGGGCGAAGGCGAGUGGCUAGAAAAUAACUGACGCUGAGGCGCGAAGGCCAGGGGAGCGAAAGGGAUUAGAUACCAGUGUAGUC
rnacentral:rRNA from 1 species